rnacentral:rRNA from 1 species
UACGGGGGGAGCAAGCGUUGUUCGGAUUUACUGGGCGUAAAGGGCGCGUAGGCGGCCAGCACAAGUCAGUUGUGAAAUCUCCGAGCUUAACUCGGAACGGUCAACUGAUACUGUGCGGCUAGAGUGCGGAAGAGGCGAGUGGAACUCCUGGUGUAGCGGUGGAAUGCGCAGAUAUCAGGAAGAACACCAACGGCGAAGGCAGCUCGCUGGGACGGUACUGACGCUGAGACGCGAAAGCGUGGGGAGCGAACAGG